GGGGACUUCGCCUGGGGGUGAGGCAGGAUUUGAUAGACCUGAAGUAACCACGUGAUCUUAAAGCCUCCGGUACAGGCCCGUUUGAAUGUACCGGGCUUUCAGUCAUACUGAAGAUCUGGACGUAGAACUCUCUGCUACCAUGUCUGCCUGCACACCGCCAUGCUCCCUGCCAUGAGGAUGAUGGACUAAACCUCUGAAACUGUCUCAGCUGAGAUCACUCUCAAGAACUUCCAUAAGAACCGCUAUGUUGGACUCUGCUUCCAGGGAACUGGGAUUAAACAGUGAACAUGAGAUGUCAACGUCGUCAUAUCAAGAUGUAGGACUCUCAUCUCCUUCUCCAGCACCACGUCUGCCUGCACACUGCCAUGUCCCUCCAUGAUGACAGCGGACUAAAACUCUGAAACUGUAAACUGCCCAUUAAAUGUUUUCCUUUUUAAGAAUUGCCUGGGUGGCGGUGAUGCAUGCCUUUAAUCCCAGCACUCAGGAGGCAGAGCCAGGAGGAUCUCUGUGAGUUCGAGGCCAGCCUGGUCUACAGAGCGAGAUCCAGGACAGGCACCAAAACUACACAGAGAAACCCUGUCUCAAAAAACCAAAACAAAACAAAAAAAGAAUUGCCAUGGUCAUGGUGUCUCUUCACAACAAUAGAAACCCUAAGGCCAGCCAGUUGUGGUAUGUACCUUUAAUCUAAGCACUCGGAAGGUAGAGACAGGCAUAGCUCUGUGACUUCUAGGCCAGCAGCAGGGUUAGAUAGUGAGACACCAUCUUACAAAAAAGAAAAACAAAACAAAACAAAAACCUUCCAAGGAAACAGGCGGGGAGGGAUUUAAGGCACGCACCACCACGCCCAGCACAUUCACCCUUCCUCAAUUCCAGUGCUAACACUGAACAUCUCUGCUUUCUUCAGGGCUAACCCCAGCAGAUAAACUCUGCAAACAGGAGCUGGUUUUUGACACCCUACCUGUGAGUCAGCCCUGCAGUAGGAAUAAAGGUUGGAAUUCACUCUUAUAACCUUGAAUAUCUCCUUUGUACUGGUUAUCUUAUUUACACAGCUAUUUAAUAUUAAUAAAAUUCCUAUAUGAGAGAUCCAGUCACCUGACUAGUCAUUUGAGGUUUAGAGAGAUUACUUAUUCCUAAUGACAUUUUGAUUAAGGGUCCUUGUUUAAAAGAAAAA